AAAGGUGAGAAAGUGGAAAGAUGAUAAAAAUUUGGCUAAGAAUGAGAAAGGUGAUGAUGACGAUGCCCUACAGCGAUAUUUUACUCUUUCUUUCCUCAUCUUAUUUCGCCCAAAUUGUUUUUCGUGAUUCAAGUAAACGUUGAAUAUAUAAACAGUAUCAUGGCGAUAUAAUGUAAUAUAAUAUAAUAUAUAACCUACUUCCGCGGAAAAAAUAACAAGCUGUAGUACUUGGUCAAGUAAAAUGAAACAAGGCUUCAGGCUAAAAGACAGAUUGAAGAGAGGAUGAGAAAAAGGAGGAGGUUCAUCAGAUUUUCAUCAUAAUCAAUGAUAAUUAACAUAAUCAUAGACGGAAUGUAAUUUAAACUUCAUCCCUUUUCACCUUCCAACUUGACGCCAUUUCAACUCUCACUACUUUCCCUCUCUUUGAACCGUUUUAGGGUUGAUCCUUUAGAAUCGCGGUUUCACUAUAAAAAUGAUGGCAACUUCAUCAACAUCAUCAUUCAAUUUUUCAAGUUGUACAAAUUACAUUUACAAUUGUUUUAGUUCCUCAACCAGUGGAUACAACACUCAAAUCAACCUAUCAAAAUGCGUUCGAUCACAAUCUGUCUUAUCAUUGCUGCUGUAAUGAUCAUCCUUGUCACCUUCACCCCAUCUGGAAAUGAAGCUUCACGAAGGAAAAUCAUGAAAAUCAAGAAACUCGCAGCUCUUGCUCUUCUCCUUAAAUCCAAGAAAAAGUACAUCUUCCCAAUCCCACUUCCACUCCCUCUUCCAGUUCCAGUCAUCAAAAAGACUGUCCCAGCCUGGCCCGAACCAUCAUGGCCUGAACCAUCAUGGCCAAGCAGUGACUCUUGGUCAGAACCCCAAGGUUGGUGGUAAAUGUUGAACAUUUAAUACAAUCACCUUUGGUUAUUUUUUAAUUAUUCAUUAACAACAAAAUGGUAGCUGGAUUAUCUGAAUUAUUUCAUUUUUCAUUCAUCAUCAUCAUACUCGUCAUCAUCCCAUCAUCAACAAAAACAUUGCCAUUCAUCAUUUCAAUCAUCAAAUCGUAAAUUAUCAUCAAAAUAUUUUUGUUACUUUAGCUGUUCUCCAAUUGAUGUUAAAAUAAUCAUUCCCAAUAACUUUAUUUUUGUUAUUAUUGAAUCUAUCGAUCAUCAAUCACCCUCUCUUUCCAACUGUUUGUCUCUCUACUUCUCUAAGAAACCGAUUCACUCUCUUCCUAAUAAACAAUCUAAUUUACUGUAGUCACUGGUCAAUUGUAAUAGAGACAUUCACAUCAUUGAAACAAAAUGCUCAAGUCAAUUUCAGAAACCGUUUUUUAACAAUCAUCACUUUCUGAGAGUGUUAAUGAUUUUUAAAAUCAUUUGCCAAUAAAUAAAUUAAUUAUUCCAUAAAAAA